rnacentral:rRNA from 1 species
UACAGAGGAGCCAAGCGUUGUCCGGAUUGACUGGGCGUAAAGCGCACGCAGGCGGACGCGCGCGUGGGGUGUGAAAUCUGGCCGCUUAACGGCCAGGCGCCAUCCCAUACGGCGCGACUGGAGUGAUGCAGAGGUCGAUGGAAUUGCCGGUGUAGUGGUGAAAUGCGUAGAGAUCGGCAGGAACACCCAGGGGGAAACCAGUCGACCGGGCAUCUACUGACGCUGAGGUGCGAGAGCGUGGGGAGCGAACCGG